rnacentral:rRNA from 1 species
UACGUAGGGACCGAGCGUUGUCCGGAUUUAUUGGGCGUAAAGAGCUCGUAGGCGGCUUGUCGCGUCGAAUGUGAAAUCUCAGGGCUCAACUCUGACAUUGCAUUCGAUACGGGCAGGCUAGAGUUCGGUAGGGGAGACUGGAAUUCCUGGUGUAGCGGUGAAAUGCGCAGAUAUCAGGAGGAACACCGGUGGCGAAGGCGGGUCUCUGGGCCGAUACUGACGCUGAGGAGCGAAAGCGUGGGGAGCGAACAGG